rnacentral:rRNA from 1 species
CCCUUAGACGUUCUGGGCCGCACGCGCGCUACACUGACAAAGGCAACGAGCUACUCUUCACCGAAAGGUGUGGGUAAUCUUUUGAAACUUUGUCGUGCUGGGGAUAGAUCCUUGCAAUUUUUGAUCUUAAACGAGGAAUUCCUAGUAAGCGCAAGUCAUCAACUUGCGUUGAUUACGUCCCUGCCCUUUGUACACACCGCCCGUCACUACUACCGAUUGAAUGGUUUAGUGAGGCCUUCGGAUCCGCGACUCGUUUGUGGAGAAGUUGGACAAACUCAGUCAUUUAGAGGAAGUAAAAGUCGUAACA